UUCUGAGCUCCUUACUUGUGUUAACUCAUUUUAUCCCAUAACAAUUCCAGGAAGCAAACACUGCUAUUAUCACUUUUAGGCAGAUGAAAGCACUGACAGUGAAGCGACUUGCCCAGAUCCUACAAAAAGUUUUCUAAGGGCCUAUUCCAAGAUAUGAAAAGAAUGCUGGCGAAACUAGAGCUAAGAGGUUGUCUCAGAACCUGUCAGAGUGGAAAGGCUGGGUCACUUCGAGGCUCCAGGUGGCUUCUCCUCCUGUCCUGCCAGCCCAGUCUUAGGUGUGCCAUUGGCUGAUGGCCUAAGCUGCUUGCUUCAUGCUGGUUUGUAAGGAGAGCUUACAAGUGAGAAGACAAGUUCAGUGUCACCUUCAAAUGACAAUGGUCAUAUGAAAUACCAAAGAUAUAUACUUUCCUGUAAAACCCUCCCACAGGGACUGAAAGGUUUUAAAUAAAAUAUAUCAUUAAAAAUUAUAUUAAAGUGAAAAA